AUUGAACGCUGGCGGCAGGCCUAACACAUGCAAGUCGAACGAGUGGCGGACGGGUGAGUAAUGUCUGGGAAAUUGCCUUAUGGGGGGGGAUAACUCCUGGAAACGGUAGCUAAUACCCCAUACCUUUCGAUUUUCCCAGGUGGGGUUAGCUAGUAGGUGGGGUAAAGGCUCACCUAGGCGACGAUCCCUAGCUGGUCUGAGAGGAUGACCAGCCACACUGGAACUGAGACACGGUCCAUACUCCUACGGGAGGCAGCAGUGGGGAAUAUUGCACAAUGGGCGCAAGCCUGAUGCAGCCAUGCCGCGUGUAUGAAGAAGGCCUUCGGGUUGUAAAGUACUGUCAGCGGGGAGGCGUUACCCGCAGAAGAAGCACCGGCUAACUCCGUGCCAGCAGCCGCGGUAAUUC
rnacentral:rRNA from 1 species